CAGGACAGAUACAACACAGGCAGCAAUGGUAUGAGCUUUCCUCACCCUUUCCAACCCCUCCCACGCAUGCCUCAGUCCAGACCUGGAGGGACUCCCUCUAGA
rnacentral:sRNA from 1 species